GACGAACGCUGGCGGCGUGCUUAACACAUGCAAGUCUUACGGAAAGGUCCUGUUUUUGUGGCUUGCUCGAGUGGCGAACGGGUUAGUAACACGGGAGUAAGCUGCCCUGUACUUUGGGAUAACUGCAGGAGACUGGUGCGACUACCUAAUAUGAGCCCGUGCCGCAUGGUGGGGGUUGGAAAGUGUAGGCGCUUGGGGAUGGACUCGCGGCUUAUCAGCUUGUUGGUGGGGUAGUGGCUCACCAAGGCUUUGAGGGGCAGCCGGCGUGAGAGGGUGACCGCCGACAUAGGGACUGAGAUACGGCCCAGACUCCUACGGGAGGCAGCAGUGGGGAAUAUUGCACAAUGGGCGGAAGCCUGAUGCAGCAACGCCGCGUGCGGGAUGACGGCCUUCGGGUUGUAAACCGCUUUCGCCUGUGACGAAGAGUGAGUGACGGUAAUGGGUAAAGAAGCGACGGCUAACUACGUG
rnacentral:rRNA from 1 species